rnacentral:rRNA from 1 species
AUGUUAACCGAAGAUGAGUUCGAGACGGCAUGGGGUAUGUUGCUGGAUAAGUACAAUUUGCGGAAGCACGCAUAUAUGACACAGAUUUAUGAGAUUCGAACAAAGUGGGCCAAACCAUACUUUAGAGGUGUUUUCUAUGCCAAGAUGACUAGCACACAACGGAGCGAGAGUGCCAAUCAUAUGUUGAAGACAUACAUGCCCCCAGCUAGCCCCAUGCAUGUGUUUGUGAGGCAGUAUAUGCGACUGCAAUUUGACAGGGAGCAUGAAGAGAGCUACAAGGAGAAAAGAACUAUGAUUGGAGGUGCAGUGAGAAGAACAAAUUUGGCUAUAUAG